UACGUAGGCAGCAAGCGUUGUUCGGAAUUACUGGGCGUAAAGAGUGUGUAGGCGGUGCUCUAAGUUCGGUGUGAAAUCUCCUGGCUCAACUGGGAGGGUGCGCCGGAAACUGGGGUGCUGGAGCGCGGGAGAGGAGAGCGGAAUUCCUGGUGUAGCGGUGAAAUGCGUAGAUAUCAGGAGGAACACCGGCGGUGUAGACGGCUUUCUGGACCGUAGCUGACGCUGAGACACGAAAGCGUGGGUAGCAAACAGG
rnacentral:rRNA from 1 species